GCACAAGCGGUGGAUGAUGUGGUUUAAUUCGGUGCAACGACGAAAAACCUUACCCACCUUUGACAUGGCAGGAAUCCCGAAGAGAUUUGGGAGUGCUCGAAAGAGAACCUGCACACAGGUGCUGCAUGGCUGUCGUCAGCUCGUGUCGUGAGAUGUUGGGUUAAGUCCCGCAACGAGCGCAACCCUUGCCAUUAGUUGCUACGAAAGGGCACUCUAAUGGGACUGCCGGUGACAAACCGGAGGAAGGUGGGGAUGACGUCAAGUCCUCAUGGCCCUUAUAGGUGGGGCUACACACGUCAUACAAUGGCCGGUACAGAGGGUAGCCAACCCGCGAGGGGGAGCCAAUCCCACAAAGCCGGUCGUAGUCCGGAUCGCAGUCUGCAACUCGACUGCGUGAAGUCGGAAUCGCUAGUAAUCGCGGAUCAGCAUGUCGCGGUGAAUACGUUCCCGGGUCUU
rnacentral:rRNA from 1 species